GCAUCCGGGUUGAGGUAGUAGGUUGUAUGGUUUAGAGUUACACCCUGGGAGUUAACUGUACAACCUUCUAGCUUUCCUUGGAGC
ensembl:miRNA